rnacentral:rRNA from 1 species
CUGUGAAGAUGAUGACGGUAGCAGAGGAGGAAGCUCCGGCUAACUACGUCCCAGCAGCCGCGGUAAUACGUAGGGAGCGAGCGUUGUCCGGAUUUACUGGGUGUAAAGGGUGCGUAGGCGGCUGUGCAAGUCAGUAGUGAAAUCCAUGGGCUUAACCCAUGAACUGCUAUUGAAACUGCACAGCUUGAGUGAAGUAGAGGUAGGCGGAAUUCCCGGUGUAGCGGUGAAAUGCGUAGAGAUCGGGAGGAACACCAGUGGCGAAGGCGGCCUACUGGGCUUUAACUGACGCUGAGGCACGAAAGCGUGGGUAGCAAACAGGAUUAGAUACCCUGGUAGUCCACGCUGUAAACGAUGAUUACUAGGUGUGGGGGGACUGAACCCUUCC